CUUUAUUUUUUUAAAUAAAAUAAGACUUAUUGCGGCAUAACUAUAAUAGUGAGACAUAUGCUGUCGCGACACUUUUUGUAAAUAAUAAUGUGUUCUACAAAGUCGUAGUACAUUAUUUUAUUCUAUCAUCAAUAGUUUUCGCAGGGCACGCGAUGUAAAGAAUAUUUAAGGUAUUUUUUUUACAGCUUGGGUUACAUUAUUGGAGUUUUAGUAAGGAUCCAUAAUUUUUUCAAAAUUUUCAUUUUUUAGUCUAUAUCACUCGGAAAUAGUGUAGAUUCCAAACAGUGAAAAUUUUUUUCUAAUCGCUCCAGUAGUUUCGGAGCCUAUUCGAUACAAACAAACAAACAAAUAUUUCCCCUUUAUAAUAUUAGUAUAGAUAUAGAUUAAAAGUACUUUUAAAGUUCAAUCACGCGUUUUGUUUUUUUAUUUUUAUUUUUUUUUCAUAAUCACUAACAUUAUUUCCGUCUUUUCGAAAACAGUUUUCAUGGUCACGGACCAUAGAUAAUUGUCACGGACGACGCAACUGUCAACGCAAACUGUAAAGUUUUCCAAAAAUCAUAAAUAAUACGAUGAAAAUAUAAAACGCAAGCUUAUUAUAUACAAGCAGUAAGAGUUGUUAUAAUUAUGUCUACGUCUGGCGAAAACCGAAGAAAAUAAAUACUAUGAAGAUAAUAUGUUCGGUCGCGCAGCAAAAUCCCUAUCUCCUCCAAGCCUGCCGUAAGGAACUUCGUUCCAAUAACUGGGAACAAAUCAUGCACGGUCACUCGAACCCAACUACUGCACCGCCGCAACUACUGCAUCAGUACAUAUAAAAUAAUAGUUCAAAAAAACUAUCAAAAUUCGCUUAUAAAGAAAAUCCAACUAAAAAAUUGAAAAUAAAUGGGAGCAUAGUAUCAAUAUUUUAUAAUAUUAACAGUUAUGAGUAGAAGGGUUAUUUUGAAAAUAUUCUGAAAUGCGCCCCACGCUUUUUUUUUACAAUAAAAUAAUUUUUUCUUACACUAUUUUUAAUUCAAAAUUAUUAAAAUUUAUUUUUUAUUAUUAGUUGGAUUUUCUAUAAAAGCGUAUUUUGUUAGUUUUUUUUGUUAAGCAAUUAUUUAUUUUUCAUUUUUUAGUUGAAUUUAAAUUAUUUCAAUUAUUUUUUCUUCAUUUUUUUUAAAUUUGUAAUUGUCAUCGGUCCUUAAUAAGUAUACCAAAUUUCGAGUUAAACCGAUGUUUUGAAGGGAAUCAAAAUCAUGUUCAAAGAUUCCGUUACAAACAUACAUACGUCUGAAGCUAAUAAAAGCGUAUUAAAAAUACAAUAAUUUAAUGAGUUUAAAAUAAUAUUCUGAUCAGUAUUACCAGGAGAUAACAAGCGUUACCAAAUAAAUAAAGUGAUUAAAGUUAUAAACACUGCCGCUAUGGACAUUAAUACAUCGAAGUAUCCAAUUUAUUAUUUAAAGGAUAUCUCACACUCUGACGGACUAUUAGGCUUGAUGCCUCCAUGCCAUGUUUAUCGCGCCGCCCUAACAUUAAGAACGGAAUAAAUUUUAUUAAAUCAGA